rfam:Brassica napus, WGS project CCCW01000000 data, contig: 5246
UAGCCAUGAUGAGGACAUUAAAGUUGGUAGCUCUUGAAUCUCUCCCAUGUGUUUCUGAAUGAUUCUCGUGGACCUUGACGGAAUGUGGAGAUUUUCUUUCUUAGAUC